UACGAAGGGGGCUAGCGUUGCUCGGAAUCACUGGGCGUAAAGGGUGCGUAGGCGGGUCUUAAGUCAGGGGUGAAAUCCUGGAGCUCAACUCCAGAACUGCCUUUGAUACUGAAGAUCUUGAGUGCGGGAGAGGUGAGUGGAACUGCGAGUGUAGAGGUGAAAUUCGUAGAUAUUCGCAAGAACACCAGUGGCGAAGGCGGCUCACUGGCCCGAUACUGACGCUGAGGCACGAAAGCGUGGGGAGCAAACAGG
rnacentral:rRNA from 1 species